UACGGGGGGGGCAAGCGUUGUUCGGAAUUACUGGGCGUAAAGGGCUCGUAGGCGGCCAACUAAGUCGGACGUGAAAUCCCUCGGCUUAACCGGGGAACUGCGUCCGAUACUGGAUGGCUUGAGUUCGGGAGAGGGAUGCAGAAUUCCAGGUGUAGCGGUGAAAUGCGUAGAUAUCUGGAGGAACACCGGUGGCGAAGGCGGCUACCUGGACAGAAACUGACGCUGAGGCGCGAAAGCUAGGGGAGCAAACAGG
rnacentral:rRNA from 1 species